UAGCUUGACACUGAACAUUGAGCCUUGAUGUGUAGGAUAGGUGGGAGGCUUUGAAGCGUGGACGCCAGUCUGCGUGGAGCCAUCCUUGAAAUACCACCCUUUAAUGUUUGAUGUUCUAACUCGGCCCCAUAAUCUGGGGUGAGGACAGUGUCUGGUGGGUAGUUUGACUGGGGCGGUCUCCUCCCAAAGAGUAACGGAGGAGCACGAAGGUUAGCUAAUCACGGUCGGACAUCGUGAGGUUAGUGCAAAGGCAUAAGCUAGCU
rnacentral:rRNA from 1 species